UGCCAGCCGCCGCGGUAAUACGGAGGGUGCGAGCGUUAAUCGGAAUUACUGGGCGUAAAGCGCACGCAGGCGGUUUGAUAAGUCUGAAGUGGAAGCCCGGGGCUCAACCCCGGAAGGCCUUUGGAUACUGUCAGACUUGAGUUCGUGAGAGGAAAGCGGAAUUCCAGGUGUAGCGGUGAAAUGCGUAGAUAUCUGGAGGAACAUCGGUGGCGAAAGCGGCUUUCUGGCACGAUACUGACGCUGAGGCUCGAAAGCGUGGGGAGCGAACAGGAUUAGAUA
rnacentral:rRNA from 1 species